UGUACCACUAGUACCUCCACUAGGUCCCCUGUACCCCUAAAUCUCUGUGUGAAGCCACCAUCACCACCACCAUCAACCAGCCAGUGCAGUAUAACUACCACCAGGCCCCCAGUUCCACUUACCCCCAGUGUUAGUGUCCCACUGUCUGCCACUCUUCAAGCAAGUGAAGCCACUCAAAGGUCAUCUACCUCCAUCCAGUCAGACAGCCAGGAAUCACAUCAAGAAAUGACACAAAAUUACACUAUUGCUACUGGACCUAACAAAAACUUAUCAACAUCUGUACUUCAGGAACAAACCGGCAUUCUAUCAGAAGCUUCGAACAGCAUUUACACAGAAGGGGUACAACCUGUCAACAGAAAAAAUUCGCAAAAAACUUUCAAACAUGUUAACAACAUACAAAAGGGUGAAGGACAGACGACGUGCCACUGGUGAGGGGAAGAAUGCCUGGGAGUACUAUACACUAAUGGAUGAGUUAUUUGGCUCAUCAGGGAUUGGCACUGCACCACCAGGGACAAUUUACUCCACGCCGUUAUUUUCGGAAGCAACAUCCUCAAACAAAUCUACUACACUUCAGGACCAACAACCCCCACCCGUUCAAGACCAGCCGGCUGAGGAUGAACAUCCUGGAACCUCAGCAAUGCAGAGCACAACCAAUCCUACCAGCAGGCAGAGGAGGCAAACGCAAUCCUCUCAGUUUUUGGAGUCGUAUGAGGCACAUGCAGAAAGGAGGACUGCUGUGCUUGAGACACUGGUGAGGCCUGACUUUGAGAGAUGGCGGCGACUAAAGGAGAGGCUAGGCGAUCCUUUGAAAGGAAGAUGCUGACCAGCAUGGGAACAAUUGUGGAAGAGCUAAAAAAAUAAGUAAACAUCAAGAGCAAAUUAUACACUUAUUACAAAAUCAACCUCAAUAAAAUGUUUUCAAAAAUAAACAUUGCAUUUUGACUCUUAAAUGUUUACUACCUGUGCAAAGGUUCCCUUUUGUUGGACUUAUUCUUGUGU